ACGAACGCUGGCGGCGUGCCUAACACAUGCAAGUCGAACGGAGAUGUUUUGAAAGCUUGCUGAUAAGCAUCUUAGUGGCGCACGGGUGAGUAGCACGUGGGCAACCUGCCCGGAAGUCUGGGAUAACAGUGCGAAAGUACUGCUAAUACCGGAUACCUUCACGAAGCUGCCUAGCUUUGUGAAGAAAGAUUAAUCGCUUCCGGAUGGGCCCGCGUCCCAUUAGCUAGUUGGUGAGGUAACGGCUCACCGAGGCGACGAUGGGUAGCUG
rnacentral:rRNA from 1 species